UCAAGUAUUGGAUAUUGUAAUCGUUAUGUGUCUGUCUGUUAUAAUGAAGUCUAGAAAGUACAUUUCAUAACUAGUUUUAAUAAAUACUUAUAUGCAUUUUAUUCCAUCCGGACAGAAUUUUACGACAGCAUUUUUUUUUAACUUACUUGUAAGACCUUUGUCUAUUUUCUAGUAUAACAGUUUUCUUCCAAAUAGUUGUAAUAGGGGUUGUAGACCCAAAACCACCUAGUGCCUACGAUUAUUCGUCGGACUACGAUUGCUCUGUCAUAUUGCGCAGGCGCUUUUGUAGCGUAAGGAUAAAAUUAUUACACGAAUCUAUACCAUGACAUAGAAUAGAGUGUACUCUUUUAAAGAAAAAUCUAAUAUAAUGCUUAAAUUAUUCAAAAAUAAAAUAAAAAAUGAUCUAAAUUAAUUUAGUAAAUUACUUGGAUUUGAACAUACUUUGAUUUUAAAAAGUUUUAGAUUCUAGAUAAAGCAUUUUGUAGCAAAGAAAGCGACGUUGCAAGUUCGUGCAUUGUUCGAAAUCGCCACGAGCGCUUUGCACUGUUGCCAGACUGGUUCGUUGUUUGUUGUUUGGAUAUUGAGAAAACUUGUCAAUCUUGCUUGACAUUGUGUUGUCUAUCGUUCCACGAUUCCGUAUGAGUUAGCGUGUAUUCCUUAUUGUUUUAUUCCUGUUACUUGUUGUUAUUUGUUAUUGAACUUAGUGUUUUGUGUGAUGCAAGUCGUUUCGUACUAACGCACGUGUGCGUACGUACUUUAUGUUUGAAAAUCCCUUAGAAUGGGGAACAAGAAGGGACGAAAAUCUAGUGCAUCAGUGAGAUUGAAGCGAAAACGAAAGCAAACAUGCUCCGGAAUGUCGUUACAAAGCUGCUGCACAGCCACCUGAUCCACAUGACCAAAUUGACAGUGAAGUGUGUCAAUCUGCUAAAGAAACCACAAAUCAACCUGAACCAUCUUUUUCUGCUUAUGUAGACUAUUUGAGUGAAGACACUGAAGGAAAUGAUUUUAAUAUAACACAUGAAAAUAUACCUACUGGCCCUGAACAUGGCCAUGAAACAAAAUAUGGCAGGAGGAUUGCAAAUGUGGACCAGUUCUUUGACAAGUUGCAAGAAAUAUCAUCUCAUGGCCCUCUCAAUUGCGGAUUAAAAUCAGUUCAGAUCAUAUCAUAUUAGAGACCCAGCCUACAUAAAAGAAGCCAUUCAUGAGAAAGAGAGGAAGAAAACAUCUGCGCCACCAAGAAAAAGAAAACUAGCCGCUGAAAACAGUGAAAACAUACGCCCCCCCGCCGUCG